rnacentral:lncRNA from 10 species
CUGCGCUUCCGUUCGCUUGACUGGCUGCGCUUGUUUUCAGGGUUUUGGUCUGAAAACGGAUCUUACCUGCGCAGAGCAAAAUCGGUUGUAGAUUAUAUCCACGAAAAUUCCUUCUAUUAAAAUGAAUUUCAAGUCCCACCUACCCUGGAAGCAGAAAGAGAGAGAAGAGAGAGAGUAAAGAGAAAGAGAAAAGAAAGAGAAGUUGAAAAAGAGAAAGAAAACCAAGAAAGAAAGAGAAAAAAACCGAAAAUAAAUGGACAAGAAAGAAAAACGGUGAAGGUCAACCCUGUGCUCAAUUCCAGAGACUUUCCUAGGGACAUCGUGUUGGGCAUGGAGGACUAAGAGAUGUAGUCUGGUUUUGUUGCCCAGGCUGGUCUCCAGCUUCUAGCCUCAAGCAGUCUUCCCAUCUGCUCCUACCAAAGUGCUCGGAUUAUAGGCAUGAAUCACCUUGCAUGGGAGAUAAGGACCCCCACAUCAAGCCCUCAGGUCACUGGGAUCCUGGACUACGGCACUGCUCCAGGCAGGCCUGGUUAUCCUGCUUGAGGCAGCAAUCCUCUUGAGCCUAGUGAAAUGCAACUGGCUGUACCUCAAUGAUGUUGCCCUGAGAUUCUGCCAGUCGAGGUAUUACUUCAAUCUCCUGAGACCAGCCUCUACCUCCAGAUCCAGGGAGGCCAACGUGCCAUGCAUCCCUGGAGCAUGAAACCCAGGAUGGGCCGCCUUCCAGCCUCCCACAGCUGUGAUGCAAGUUGAACACAUACAGAGAGACUGCAUCUGCACUGGGUGGUUUUCCUGAGCCUUGGGGAGCAGAAUGCAUGAAUCCCAGGUAUCUGCCGAUCUGUAUGUAACAAAUUCACUUCAUGUAACUUACUGUGUGUCCGUGAGAUUAUCUCUCAC